UAUUUGACGAAGACAAGAAGAGUAGCAGUCUGGCAGUUGUUUAGAGAGCCUUUGGUUGGUGGAAAAAGGUCGGCGGCGGACGGUGAAACACAUCUUGGAGUCGCCCUUCUGAAUCGAGUAGGAAGAGCCGGGUUAGCCCGAUAUCGCUGCGGUCAUUGUUUGAUGACUCGUUGAGAUUCUGGCUUGUGAAGGCUAGGGUGAAAAAAGGUGGAACCACGUUAUUGACGUCCUUUGG
rnacentral:ncRNA from 1 species